rnacentral:rRNA from 1 species
AAAACUUACCAGGUCAAGACAUGGGCGUGAUUGACAGGCUAAUGACUUUUCUCGAUUCCAUGGAUGGUGGUGCAUGGUCGCACUUAGUUGGUGCAGUGAUUUGUCAGGUUUAUUCCGGUAACGAACGAGACCUCGGCCUUGUAAAUAGCUAUGCUGCUUACAGGGACAUUGGCGGCUACGCCAAGGAAGCUCGAGGCAAUUGCAGAUCUGGAAUGCCCUUAGAUGUCCUGGGUCGCACGCGUGCUACAAUGACGCCACGAACGAGCUUGCGUGAUGAAAGUUACGCAUAAUCAGCAGUCGGCGUCUUAAGGGAUAGUCUCUUGUAACUGUGGGACUCCAACUAGGAAUGUCUCGUAAGCACAAGUCAACAUCUUGUGUUGAUUACGUCCCUGCUCUUUGUACACACCGCCCGUCGCUCCUACCGAUCGAGUGUUUAGGUGAAUUUGAUGGACGUAAGGAAGUCAAAUAAACCUGAGCACUAGAGAAAGAGAGUCGAGAUC